rnacentral:rRNA from 1 species
UACGUAGGCAGCAAGCGUUGUUCGGAAUUACUGGGCGUAAAGCGUGUGUAGGCGGUCCUCUAAGUCGGAUGUGAAAUCCCUGGGCUCAACCCAGGAAGUGCACUCGAAACUGGAGGGCUAGAGUAUCGGAGAGGUUGGUGGAAUUCUCGGUGUAGAGGUGAAAUUCGUAGAUAUCGAGAGGAACACCGGUGGCGAAGGCGGCCAACUGGACGAAUACUGACGCUGGGACACGAAAGCGUGGGGAGCAAACAGG